CCCUUACUGGAACAGUGGUACAAAAAUUGUACCACCUUUUCCCGAACAAGCGCAGCACAGUGGUCCAUAUAACAUACCACUCAUUUUAUCGCAAAUUUGAUACGGCACGGAAGCUUUAAAAGUGUACCUCCUAAUGCAUCGCAUGCAUAUAUGCAUAAUACGCAUAUCUUGUGUGCAAACGUAAACAUCCCUUUUAUCAAACAUUAGUUUCUGCGACGCAUUUGCAGGAUAGUUCACGUUUAUAUGCAAACCAAUUUUUUUGUGAACAAGUACCGUCUUUUUUUCAUUUGAAUUUAUUUGUUGAGUGUGUUUAUCCUAUAAGCUUCAAGAAUAGUUUUCAUCAAGUAAGUAUAUUUAAAUUUUCUCAAUAUUUUGUCUAGAAUGUAGUGGUACUUUAUAUGUACCACUGCGCCGUACGUAUAUAAGGGUUGGUCAUGAACUAUUAUUCCAGAUACAAUGGAAUAUUUGCCAUUCACAUUGAAAGGACUAACCCAUGCUGAGCUUAUGGAGGAAAUAGAAAAUAUUCCAUCUGAUGCAGAAUCUAUUGUUGACGAGGACGAAGAUGACGAGUCGGAACAUCCCUUGCGGAAUGAAAUUUGUAUAGAAAAUUUGGUUCAAGACGUCGAAGAUGACAUCAGUGAUGACUUGUCUCAUUAAAAAGAAAACGAGACAACAGUCCAUUAGAAAUUAAGAAGCAUAAACCGCAAGUAUCCAUAGAAGUCAGACUUGACAGUUCAGCACAUCAACCUGGAAGAGGCACCAGAAGAAGAUGCGCAGUAUGCAGCACAAAAAUUAAUCAAGUGAGAACUGAAUGGACCUGUACAAUUCGUAAAGUUCCUUUGUGUUUGUCCAAAACGAAAACAUGCUUCUAGGAUUUCCACUCAAAGGCAUAGUGGUACACUAUAUGUACCACCUCCUAUAGGGUCCCACGAUUUUUUUGGAAAAAAAUUUACAUUGAUUUUUCAUUAUAUAUUCAUAUUUCUUCCUAAAUAAAUACAAAAACAUAAGUAAUUAUGAACUUUUAUUUGUCGUGCCACCCGUGCAAAAUAUCUUCGCUGAUCUCUGUGCCAAUAAGGGUU